UACGGGGGGGGCAAGCGUUGUUCGGAAUUACUGGGCGUAAAGGGCUCGUAGGCGGCCAACUAAGUCAGACGUGAAAUCCCUCGGCUUAACCGGGGAACUGCGUCUGAUACUGGAUGGCUUGAAUCCGGGAGAGGGAUGCGGAAUUCCAGGUGUAGCGGUGAAAUGCGCAGAUAUCAGGAGGAACACCCGUGGCGAAAGCGGCUCUCUGGGACGGUACUGACGCUGAGACGCGAAAGCGUGGGGAGCAAACAGG
rnacentral:rRNA from 1 species